rnacentral:rRNA from 1 species
UACGUAGGGCGCGAGCGUUGUCCGGAAUUAUUGGGCGUAAAGAGCUCGUAGGCGGCCGGUUGCGUCUGCUGUGAAAUCCCGGGGCUUAACCCCGGGCGUGCAGUGGAUACGGGCCGGCUGGAGGCAGGCAGGGGAGAAUGGAAUUCCCGGUGUAGCGGUGAAAUGCGCAGAUAUCGGGAGGAACACCGGUGGCGAAGGCGGUUCUCUGGGCCUGUACUGACGCUGAGGAGCGAAAGCGUGGGGAGCGAACAGGG